UACGUAGGGGGCAAGCGUUGUCCGGAAUCAUUGGGCGUAAAGCGCGUGUAGGCGGCUCGAUAAGUCUGCUGUGAAAGUUCAGGGCUCAACCCUGAAAUGCCGGUGGAAACUGUCGGGCUAGAGUCCGGAAGAGGCGAGUGGAAUUCCUGGUGUAGCGGUGAAAUGCGCAGAUAUCAGGAGGAACACCAAUGGCGAAGGCAGCUCGCUGGGACGGUACUGACGCUGAGACGCGAAGGCCAGGGGAGCAAACGGG
rnacentral:rRNA from 1 species